rnacentral:other from 1 species
GAAACCCUGCUGUGUGCGUGAUGCGAAAGCGGGGUUCGAGCCAACACCCGUCCAAGGGAGGUCGCAUCUGGAGGGGAUGCGUUAGCCCGUGAGGGCAAGGCAGUAACCGACAGGAGACCUCCAAAAUGAAGGAUGGGUUCGAACCAGAUUCGCACACGGCACAGCGGGGUUCUU